rnacentral:rRNA from 1 species
CGGGUGAGUAAUGUAUGGGGAUCUGCCUGAUGGCGGGGGAUAACUACUGGAAACGGUAGCUAAUACCGCAUAACGUCGCAAGACCAAAGAGGGGACCUUAGGGCCUCUUGCCAUCGGAUGUGCCCAGAUGGGAUUAGCUAGUAGGUGGGGUAACGGCUCACCUAGGCGACGAUCCCUAGCUGGUCUGAGAGGAUGACCAGCCACACUGGAACUGAGACACGGUCCAG